GUGGGGAAUAUUGCACAAUGGGGGGAACCCUGAUGCAGCGACGCCGCGUGGGUGAAGGAGUACUUCGGUACGUAAAGCCCUAUCAGCAGGAAAGAAAAUGACGGUACCUGACUAAGAAGCCCCGGCUAACUACGUGCCAGCAGCCGCGGUAAUACGUAGGGGGCAAGCGUUAUCCGGAUUUACUGGGUGUAAAGGGAGCGUAGACGGCAGUGCAAGUCCGGAGUGAAAGCCCGGGGCUCAACCCUGGGACUGCUCUGGAAACUGUAAAGCUGGAGUGCGGGAGGGGCAGGCGGAAUUCCUGGUGUAGCGGUGAAAUGCGUAGAUAUCAGGAGGAACACCGGCGGCGAAGGCGGCCUGCUGGACCGUAACUGACGUUGAGGCUCGAAAGCGUGGGGAGCAAACAGGA
rnacentral:rRNA from 1 species